GUGGAUACAUCCAUGCUGGAAGGUUCCGGAAGUCUCCGUGCACCAGUCUGCCAGACUUAAAGAAUGCCUGUCUCUGGCGUCCUGAAGGAAAAGUAGGUGUAGAUGGGUUCAGAUGCCAGGACUUGCACCGAAGGGUUAAGGUCUUCUUUUUCUGCCGCCUUUAGUAGAACCAAGGAAACAACAGAGAGGCAAACCCAUUAAGACAUCCGUAUGUCCACUCCCUCCUCACAUGCCCACGUUCCAUCUCAUGUGACCACUCCCAUUCUCACCAAAACUGCAGCACUGGCCCAUGAAAAGGCAAGCAAGGAAACAGUCGAGUGCCCAUCGGCUGAAAACCAAGUACGCAGAGUGGGGUACGGUGUAUCUCUAUGAAGCAACUAUUAUCCAGCCGAUAAGAAGAAGCAGAUUUUCGUAUACACUGGGAUAUGAGUAUUGAUGGGAUUCUUUCCCUGAGGAGAGGUCUUCCGGACGGGAUCUCGCUGGUAUCAUGACUUUGUCUAUUCUAAGCUGUGGAAGAAGAUUUUAACCCUAUCUGCCUUGCGACUAAAAACCCGGUGUUUCUCAGGUCUGGGAAGAUGGCUCAGUUGGUGAAGUGCCGGCCAUACAAGCAUUAGAACCUGAAUUCAAUGCCCCAGAACCUACAGAAAUAGUAAAUCAGGAUCUUAUACCAUAGCUCAGAACAACCUGGAGCUCACGAUGAUCCACCUGCCUUAGCCUACUGAUUGCUGGGAUAACUGACUCAGGCCAUCACACUCAGAGUUGAGUACCACAUUAAGCAAGGCAGUCAUGGUGGUGAACUCCAUGGUGCCACAGUCCCAUGGAAGAGGUAAACCAUGCAUCCACAUCAGGAGUGAGAAGAUCAUCAUACAUUGUGGUAGGCACCAUGAGAGCAAUGCACACAGACAUGACAUGGAAGAAGCCACCUGAGAGCUGGGGUGAGGGGGCACUGCCUACAGAAGAGACAGACUCAGCAUGGUGACAGAGAGACAAGAACAAAAUAGGACUUCGUGUGUUUGAAAGUUGGAGAACUGUUUGGAAAGGAUUAGGAGGUGUGGCCCUGUUGGAGGAGGUGAUGCUGCUUCUCAAGGAAACAGUUUGAAUUUUAUCAAAACCGCUUGGGGAAACCAGGAGACAAUGCAGGUUUGCUGUGGUCAUUCUUCCAAAAUGCGUCCUGAAUUCUUAACUCCCGGGAGUAUGUCUAUACUUGAAAGCAGCUUUGCAGAGAUUACCAAGUUAAUAGGAGGUCAUCAGUGCAGUCCUUCAUCCAACCUGAUUGGCAUCCUUUUAAGGUGAUAUGAAGAUACAUACAAGGAGAGCAUCCUGUGAUGCCAGAGGCAGAUGCUGGAGCAGCGUAGCUACAAGCCAAGGAUGCCGAGGAUUGGCUGCCUCCACUGGAAACUGGACCAUGCAGAAGGAGUCUACCCAGAGCCUCAUGAGGAACUAACAGAGGGCCGCUGGUGGGCAGAGGGCUGAUCUUCGCUUACGUUCCUGUCCUAACUGCUAAGGAGUGCUUCGUCUGGGCUUAUUGGGUCUUUGUUGAGUUGAUGUAAUUGGAGGCUCCCACAUAAAAAAUGAGGUUUAUGAUUGUCAUUAAAAAUUUCCGAUAAUUUACCCAUAGGCUUUUGGCAUUAAUUGUCAUCGAGGAAACAGAAGAGGUGCCUCUUCAUUGUCAAUAAAUGUUUGGACAGAACAAGGAGAUAAAUAAUUAUGGUGGGCCCCAAGCACUCAUUUGAAUACUAUUUUAGGGGGAGUAACCAAUGGCCAGCAUCAAUUGCUCUGUGUCGAGAGCUGCUCCACGGUUCUGUACACACCCUCUUACUUAAAUCUUGCUAUGUCUCAGUGAAAUAGACUCAUUUGUGGGACUCAGAUUAUGGAUGAGGAAAAUUGAUGCUUUGAAGUUGUUCAGAUGAAGACUUGAGAGUUAAACUUGGGCAGAAAUUCAGCUCUUAGCCACUAAACUAUCGUUACGUGCAGAAGCUAAUCUUUCCUUUUGGUAGAAACAAAAGGCAAUUUGUCA